CCUGGCGGCCUUAGCGCGGUGGUCCCACCUGAGCCCAUGCCGAACUCAGAAGUGAAACGCCGUAGCGCCGAUGGUAGUGUGGGGUCUCCCCAUGCGAGAGUAGGGAACUGCCAGGC
rnacentral:rRNA from 1 species